CACAAAUGUACUAAACCCACAACCCACCCACAUGGCUGGAAUUUUCUCUUCUUCUUCCUUCUCCAUUGCUAUUUUCAUUUUUUUGACAAAAAGAGCUCCACCAGCAACUAAGAUGAUGAACUUUUUCCCAAAUAAUGGAGAAAUCCGAAGCUCCGACCCGUGAAAAACUCAACACGUCCAUCAUCACUCUAGAAAACUAAUCCCAGGUUUAAUUUAUUGUCUGCUAUCAGCCCUGAAUUUAAGGCUCGAUUAUUUUAGUUUUUUAGUUUGUAACUUUUUUAUUUGAUUUUAUGUUGCUGUGGGACAAAAUCUGGGCCAGAAACUGAAAAAGCAAAAAAAGUCAUGCUUUUGGCUAGCAAGUAAGUUCACAAAACCAUUCCCCCAUCGUCGCUACCUUAGCUCCACCUAGUAUGGUCCAAAGUCCAGCCAAGUCCGCCACCAACCUCCUAGUUGCUGCCAUGUUUCAAAGGCUAUUCCCACUUUGGUUCGUAACCCUCCCCAUUCCUCCAUUGUUUUUGGUAAUUAAGCUGCUUAAAUUCUAGUUUUAAUUUCUCAAUAAUUUGUUGAUUUUAUGUUCUUGAAUUUUGUAAUUUACAUGUAAUUUCUUUCUAUCUCUAGACUUAAUAAUGUAUAAUAAGUGGAACAAUUGAGAAAGUCAGAGAAAUCAGUCUAGAUCUACAUUUG
rnacentral:lncRNA from 1 species